ensembl:lncRNA
ACACUAAAACAAAUGGAAAGACUUGGAGGUGUAAUUUGAAAGUUACUGGUGGUUUUUACUGCUCCGGCCCACUUACAGUCAAACUGGGCUGUAUAAGGCCCAUGAACUCAGAUGAGUUUGACCCUCUAAUGUUUACCAUAUGAAUUUCAAACCUAAUGAUUUUCACUUUGUUGAUCCUUUCCCUUUCCUCUGUCAUUGUUUGUGUUUGCAUUUACAAACAUUUUUCCUCACUGCGUGUGAAGCUCCGUUUCCCCCCCCGUCUUCCACUUGAGUGGAUAGUCUACACCAAGUAAAAUUUAAACCCAAAUAUAUGCUUUUAUUUUUUCCACGAAACAAUAACACCGAUACAGUUCACAUGUACUCACAAUAGUUGAUUAUUUAAGGCGGGAUUUUUGCUAUCUUUGUAAACUUUCUAGUUCCCUCUCAAAUUAAAAAUGAAGUUCUGUAAGUGUUGCAAAAAAAUCAAAAUCAAUUUGUUUUUAAAAUAAAUGCAACACAAUUUUGCAACAAGAUCCAGAGGAAAAUCUGUUUGUGCAUCAAAACUGUCGGAGCUGUAAGUGCACCCUGCUAAACAGUCCAUUUAAGGCCUGCAAGUAUUUCAAAGUUUAGGUACAAAAACAGACAAAUUUCAUGUUUUGUUUGGUUUUUUUUCACCUACUACUUUCUAAUUACUUUUUAAACUUUGUCACUGGAGUAUAAAGGGCAAUUUACAUUUUUAUGAGAAUGCUGCAUCUGCUAUGCAAUUGUGUGAUUUCAUUUAAACCCAUAUUUUUGCAAGAAAAAGAAAAAACAGACAAAGAUGUAAUUUUAACUGACUUUAUUUAGAGAGAGGGUGACAGGGGAACAGGAGAGCAGAUUAAUGAGAAAGGUUUCAUAAACCUGUUAAAUAAAUUAUUUAAAACAAAUACACAUUUAGUUGGGUUAAAGAUCAAUUAUAUAAAUGCAUCAUAUAAUUUAACUUGUUUUUUUCCUUUUCAGAAAUUUACAUUACCAAAAACUAAAUCAAACACAUUAACUCAUGAGCAGUAGCUCCAAAAAUAAAUGACAAGCAAAACAAGCACAGCGUUUGCUCUGUAAUUGAGUUCAUGUAAUCAUUUAAUUAGCUUCUCUUUCCUGGAGUUUAACCGUGCAUUCUCUGAUUGAGGUUUUAAGCUGCUCAAAAAGCACUGCUGACAUGUUGGGUUUCACUGCAGGAUACUUGCUGCUCUAUGCAGUCAGAUAACUGCAGAAGCACCACCGUCCCCCAUUCCACACAUUCCAGGAUUUCCCAGCAAGCAUUGCAAGCAAGCCUAAACAAGUCACGUUCUUUACUCAGGAAGAAUUUCACACAGUCAAGUGACUGAAGCCUGCUUUUGCGUUCCCUCUGGUGAGCAAUCACAAAGACCCACCUUUACGUCUGAAACACCUCUGUCGCCAUUUAAAAUGUAUUAUUACUAUCAUACGUUUUCUUUUUUGUCUUUUUUUUUGUUCCUUUCUGGAGAGACCUAAUGAGAUUCUAUAAACCAGCUUUACUACACAGUCGCAGCAAUCCUUCUUUUCACCUGAAACCUUUUACUGCAGCGGGGCAAUCUGUGCCCCAAAAUAUGCUUCCUGUCUGUUUUUAAUAAUGCCUUGAAUCCUUCUGCAGCAGCUUGUAACAGCAACUGGACUGUGGUUAAACAUUUCCACCCAGAAAGGUCCGCUGACAGUCAUCAAAACAAACGUCUUUGCUCUCCUACUUCAGGGUUCAAACACAAGGCACACGGGCGAGCGCGCACACACACACACACACACACACACACACACACACACACACACACACACACACACACACACACACACACACACACACACACACACACACACACACACACACACACAGGAGCAGUGACACCUAAUCUCGACACGGAAAGAGAAGGAAGAAAGAAAAUAAAGGGAAGGCAAAAGGCAAGAGGGUGAGAGGGCCUUGCUCCCUACAUUCCUCACAAACGUCCCCUCCCCCCAUCGACCUGCUACCACCGAGGAUGCUCAGAAAGAAAGAAAAAACCCCCACAUACAUUGACCUCCCAACCCCUCCUCCUUUUCUUUUUCAUCUGCUUAUUUUACCCCAUCAUCCAUGCCCACCAUCUCAUUGACAACAGAACACCAUGAGGAAAAAAAUACAGAAGGUAGAAGUCUGAUAAGAAGAGAAAGACUUGAUCAUUUAAUUAUUUUAACAUAAAUAAACUGCAGUUUCUGCUUUCACUUCAAAUCCAUCUACAGUUGUGUUUUUUUUUUUUUUAAAGUUAAAGUCACACUUUGUUUGGCGCCUGAUGUGAAUAUGUGAUAUUUUCCAUCACAAGCUUGACCCCUCCUAAAAAAAGAAAAACCCAACUGUACCAUAUGUGUGUCUUCUUCCCUUCAUGUGCCUUAUUUGAGUACCAUUACCUAAAACUCUGGUCACAAGGACUUAUGUCAGCCUAGAAAAUGUGUGUAAACUCUGCUCUGUAAAUACAGUACAGGGUAAACAGCUUAGGAAGCUUUCUGCCACUACCUGCUAUCAGACACUGGCUUUACUUCUACACAAGCUCGUCUGAAGCGAGCCCUUUAAGCACCAGUUUUAGUGUGAACUGAGGCCAAAUGCUAUGACAAUACUAUUGCACUGCUAGAAUGGAUGGUACAGUAGUGCAACAUUGUCAAAGCAGCUGACCUCAGCAUGUGUCAGCACGUGGACAUGGGGGGGAGUGGGGUGCGGGAGGGGGAAGGUGGGGGGUUACAGCCAUUCUUCACAGCCAAACUCCAAUUACGCUUAAAUAAGAAGCAAAGGUGUUAUUUAUAACAAAACAAGAAGGUGGGUGUUGAAAUGCAAAUUUACCUGUCUUCUUCUUCCAUGUGGCUGAUAACGUCUGUCGAGUGUGGACUUAAGUCUACAGGUUUCCGUGCAGCAGGAGACACAGUUGCAUCACAUUUAAGCACACCCGAAAAAACCGCUCCACACGCAGGUUAAGAGUUAAGGCAGUAAAGGGAGGUGUGGGUGUCUGUUUCAUCAGCCAAUGCCCUUUUAAUAUUGCACUGCUCAUCUCAGCGUCCAGUAGUGCAACAGAAAAAGGGCAGUGGACAACAACAUGGACACCAUCAGCCUCCACUGCACAUACUGACUCAACUACCCACCUUGUUUUCUCAGCCCUGCAACAAACAGUCGCAUAAAUCACACAAAUGAAUUAAAACAAAGGCACACACACACAAAGUUGGAUCAGAAAAAAAGGGGGGGAAGUUAGUUUGCAAACUAACUAAAUUAAACCGGAAACAAAUGAUUACUUCCGCACAAAGUCAUGGGUUUAGCUCAAAAAAGUUCAGCCCUGCAAGCGUGCAUGUCCUGGAGACAAAAGUUAGGAUGUCACAGAUUAACAGUAUAGCUUUUCAACUGAGGAGUUAAAUGAACUUCCCAAAUUAAACAGCAUUGGUUACUCUCACCCUGGGAGAAUGGGAAUUUCCCAGCAUGUGGGCCCAUACUAUUCUCUCCAGUGAAUGACAUGCAUUCUAAUUUUGGUGGAGAAAUGGGAGGUUGGAAACAGGGGAGGGGGGACACACACAGACACACACACACUCUCUCUCAAAGGAUUCAAAGAGCCACGGGCUGAUAAUGCCAAACUAUAAAAACACAUUUUAAAAAUAAAUAAAUAAAUAUUAGUUUUGUGCAAAACGAACACAAGGUGGGGGGAAAAAAUGAGCUAAAUUAUUUAACAUAUUCAAACUGAAAAAAAAAGUUUGUAUCAAUACAGGAAAAAAAUAGUAAACUGUAGCAAGCCCUGGAAAUAAAAGAGAAGCAAAUCCUGCAAGUUUACACAAUGGGUGCGCAGUUACACAACGUACAGAAUCUAUAGCAUGACAGGAAAGAGGCGUUGCAAGCGUCCAGAACACAGCGAAGCUUCCUCAUUCCUCAGACAUCUGACGAUUCCUAUAAAUACACCUCAAGGUGUUCCUCUCCCCCACCCCCCCUUUUUUCUUUCUUUCUUUUUUUUUUUUUUUUUUUUACCUGUUCUUGGGAGCUUUAUCCGCCAUACAUAUCUGUGAGCGGCCUAUACGCCUUCUAGAAGCGCUGGCUUUGCUGUACGAGCCAUUCCGGCCAGCUCUCACAAACCCACAGAACCAUACUGACGACUUGUUAGAUUGCACAACAGCAUAUAGGCUGCACUAAACGUACGCACACGCUAGCACCGUGAAAAUGUCCCCCACCCACCGAACCCCCCUCGGAGAGACCCACCGCACUAAGAUAACGGCGCGAUAAGGUGCAGGACGCGGGGUGUCUGUCCACAAGGCGUUAAAUCGUGUCCUGAUCAAGUUUUGAAGCGAGCUUCCAGAUGCGCAGCGCGCGGGAUUCACUCAACUCUUAUCGCCGUUUUGCUCCUUUAGGUCACAGAAACAGGAAAAUCUUCGUAUCUCGACCUUUGCAACUUCCAAGUUUGCACUGAGCUCCUGACAAUUUACGCACACAAAAAAGAAAAGAAUUUUAAAAAAAUAAAUAAAAAUCAGCUACAACUCACAGUGGACAACCUCCCCCUCCUCCACCUUCUCCACCUCCAUAACCUCCUCCUCCAAAAUCAUGAAUAGUAUCAAGCCAGGGAGGGACAAUCCGUUAUGGGCAAAAAAAAAAAAAAAA